GUGAAUCAUCAAAUUUUUGAACGCAAAUUGCACUCUCUGGUAUUCCGGAGUGUAUGCCUGGUUGAGGGUCAGUUAAAUAAGAAUCGUUGGUGUUGCUGCUUUGCUUGGUUACGCACCGGAUUUUGGUCGUCUUGCCUUCGGUUAAGUGACCUCAAGUUUUGCAUUAUUUUUUCGAACGUAUUUAAAUUUUUUUACGUACGUUUUCGAUAUCGAAUACUAGGUGUGGUCAUCCUCAUGAUUCUCGCCUAUAAUUUCUCAUCCAAAUGACCUCAAAUCGGGUAAUAUUACCCUCUGAACUUAA
rnacentral:misc_RNA from 1 species